ACUAGGGUGAUCCCUUUACAAUGCUCAGAGGAUCAACAUACGUAAUGAAAAGCGGUCAUCCACUCAACAACAAGCCUUCUCUCUGCCAGAACUGUGACGAGGCGACGAUCACCUCCACAGACAGAACUCUGGGUCUCCGAAACCGAGCUCCCAUUUCAGGCAGACUGAGAUCCAUUCAGAGGGGAACCGGAACAGCACUCCCAGAACCAAACCACUGGGUCAGAAUUUCAGCAAAGAGCACUCAUUCUCCCACCAGCAGUGAAUCCUCUGACAGGUGAAGGGUGAGAGCUGAACCUGCCUCCUUUCAGCUGCAAUGAGACAGAAAAUAACAAACUGGCAGCAAGUGAUCAAGCAACUGGAAUAACAAGAAGAGGGCAAACGCACCCUUCUUGGGAGAGAUUAAUUUCUGUGGGAAAUUAAAUUGUAUGUAUGCGUGUGUCGUUUUUUUUUUAAGGGUAGGUGUUUUUCUCACUAAGUCCUUGGUGUGUAAUAUAAAACAAUCUCAGCAGACUUUGUCUGAGGCUCCAACUCUAUCGUCUUCAUUAUUUUGUCUUUAGAGCGUCAGAGAUAGUGAAAAUAUCCUCACAAUUCCCUGAAACCCAAGGUGUCAUUCUUAUGAGGCUUGUUUUGUCUGCUCCUUUACAAAGAUGUUGCAGAAAAUAUCUGAGACAUUUUGAGCCGCAGAAGAAGAGGAUUUUCUGGCACGACUUCACCAACUACCAAGGGUCCUCUGAUGGUCCAAAUCUCAAGGAAGUCAUUUCUGAAACAACAUGGAUGCUAUGCUAUCAAUAUCAUCGCCUCACCUGACAUAAAACUGUGCACACUGUUUUAAUGUAAAUACUAGAGUAGUAUUUCUCAAUAUCUUGAGACACUUUUUGAAGGUCUCGGUCUCGUCUUGCACUCAAAAGCAUUUUUACUCUGUCUUGUCUCUGCCUCAGACUGGGCGGACUCUGGAUUUUAAAUAAAGACCGUUCA